AAUAAAUGUAAAAUUGUUAAAAUUUGAGUAGUAAGAGAUAAGAUCUUGAAACUCAAAGAAUUUGGCGGUGUUUUAUUCUAUUCAGAGGAAUCUGUUUUGUAAUUGAUAAUACACGAUUGAGUAUACUUGAAGAUUAAAAUUUGUAUAUCGCCGUCAUCAGAUUGUUUUGGAUAGAAAAGUUAAAUUAUUAAAAUAUUUAUUAGGAUAAGAUGUCAGGUCAAGGUGCAGUUGAAUAUUUAAGAAUAAAAUGGAUUACAUUAAAUGAGAAAUUAAAGGAAUGGAUUAUAGAUAUGAUUAUUUAUAUAAAAUUGGAUUUGAAAGUAAAUUGAUUUAAAUUGGUUGGUUGAAGUAGCCCUAAAGUAUGC
rnacentral:rRNA from 1 species